GAUGAACGCUGGCGGCGUGCCUAAUACAUGCCAGUCGAGCGAACGGACGAGAAGGUUGCUUCUCGGAUGUUAGCGGCGGACGGGUGAGUAACACGUGGAUAACCUACCUAUAAGACUGGGAGAACUUCGGGAAACCGGAGCGAAUACCGGAUAAUAUUGUGAACCGCAUGGUUCAAAAGUGAAAGACGGUCUUGCUGUCACUUGUAGAUGGAGCCGCGCUGCAUUAGCUAGUUGGUAAGGUAACGGCUUACCAAGGCAACGAUGCAUAGCCGACCUGAGAGGGUGAUCGGCCACACUGGAACUGAGACACGGUCCAGACUCCUACGGGAGGCAGCAGUAGGGAAUCUUCCGCAAUGGGCGAAAGCCUGACGGAGCCACGCCGCGUGAGUGAUGAAGGUCUUCGGAUCGUAAAACUCUGUUAUUAGGGACGAACAUAUGUGUAAGUAACUGUGCACAUCUUGACGGUACCUAAUCAGAAAGCCACGGCUAACUACGUG
rnacentral:rRNA from 1 species